GAUGAAGAACGUAGCGAAAUGCGAUAAGUAAUGUGAAUUGCAGAAUUCAGUGAAUCAUCGAAUCUUUGAACGCACAUUGCGCCCACCAGUAUUCUGGCGGGCAUGCCUGUUCGAGCGUCAUUUCAACCAUCAAGCCCCAGGCUUGUGUUGGGGACCUGCGGCUGCCGCAGGCCCUGAAAACCAGUGGCGGGCUCGCUGUCACACCGGGCGUAGUAGAUUUUAUCUCGCUCUGGGCGUGCUGCGGGUUCCGGCCGUUAAAAAACCCUUUUAACCCAAGGUUGACCUCGGAUCAGGUAGGAAUACCCGCUGAACUUAAGCAUAUCAAUAAGCGGAGGA
rnacentral:misc_RNA from 1 species